rnacentral:misc_RNA from 1 species
UUUUUUAAGUUAAAAAGAAUUGAUUUUUUUUUCAUUCUAAACAUGAUAAUUGACAAAAAAGAAAUCAAUAGAAUUGAAUUCUUGUAAAAUUAUAAAUUCCAAACAAGAGGAAAAUGAACAAACUAGCUUGGCCAUUAUAAAGAACUUUAUUGGAUACGGUGCUCCUUUAGGUGAAAAACUUUGUAAGUUUCAUUGAAUUCCAUUGAGUAGCAUACAUUCCUUAUAGCAGCAUAUUAUUUGAAAAAUUCAUUCUAAAUGUUGAUGCAGAAAAUGCCAUAGGUGCAGGGGUGUCCAUUCAAGGAGAUGCAUAAAGUUUUGGGAUGCUUUAUGGCAUGUAUCAGGUGGAUCUGAACCUCCACAACUUAACUAGAAUGGCACUUGCCUGAAAUGGUCAAGGAUAUCAUGGAUCCACAACUAGAGCCUGAAGAAAACA